CGGCCUGGGGCGGCCGCCCCCGUGGGACCGCGGUCGGGCCCGACGCACUGCCUCGCGCUGCCGCCGCGGCGCUCGGCGGAUCGCGAGUGCGGUCUCGUACCUGGCUCCGGUAGCGAGGGAGGGCCAGAGGCACGUCGCCAUGGCAACGGGCAGCCUCCGCGCGAACCACAGAAUCAUAGAGAAGGGAGGGUCCUCUGAGGUCGUCUUGUGAAAGCUCCUUGCUCAAGCAAGGAAUCAUCAGAUCUUACUUCAGAACCUGUCCCUCUGUGACACACCAGAGCUUGAACCGAAGGUCCUGGUAAGUGUGCAAGUGUAGAUGGGUGAUUCCUGGACAGCCAACUUGUCCUUGCAGACUCCUCCUCCCAGUUCUCUGCUGCUAGGCAGAAGAGCCCAAUGGAGCCAACAGCAUGUGGGCAGUUGAUACUUCCUUGCAGAUUAUUCUUAGUGAAGAUACUAAAAAGCAUUGGACUAUAGAGAAUUCUGUGCAAAACCUCAUUAGGAAAACUGCUGGAGGUGAAUUUCUCAUUUGCAGUUAAUCAUGUGUUGUAAUACGGAACAUGAGUAUGCUGUUUAAUCUUGCUUUGAUCUGUCUCUCAUGAAGACCUAGAUAAAACACCUUAAAGAGAUCUGUUAUAUCUAUGUAUGCAUAUAUCAAACAAAUUAAACAGUCAUUGGAAAUAUUAACAAGUAGACUGAUUUAUUAUUGUUGUUUGUUGUUGUUGUUGUUAUUAUUAUUAUUAUUAUUUGCAUUGUUGUUGUUAUCAUUUCAAGUAAUCAAAGCCUUUCUGUCUCACUGGCAAUUUUUGCAGCUAGCGGAAAGUGUUUUGGCCACAUUAUCUUCAGUGACAUUUGACUUCCAAGUCCAAAAUCAAAAUGUAACCUAAAAGUGUUUCACCUUAAAGCAUUCUUACUAUGACUUAUAUGCGUGCCUCUGGAUUGGUAGUGUUUUAUGAAACAAUCUAUUCAGCUGUCCACAUGACCUAAAGAACUGACAUAUUUUUGAUGAGUUUUAAAACAAACAGAAAGAAUCUUGGCCUUCUUCUGGGUUUGUUUAUGCAUGACAGGCAGAUCCUAUAAGAUGUAAUAAAACUAUUAAUGGAGUUGUUACAAA